UGAUCAUGGCUCAGAAUGAACGUUGGCGUGUGUGGAUUAGGCAUGCAAGUCGCGCGACAAGUUCCUGCUUGCAGGAAACGGAGGAGCGGCGAAAGGGAGAGUAACACGUGGAUACCUGCCCUCAGCUCCGGGAUAGCAGCGGGAAACUGCUGGUAAUACCGGAUAAUAUCCCCGGAUCAAAGGUGUGAUUCCGGCUGGGGAUGGGUCCGCGUCCUAUUAGGUUGUUGGUGGGGUAAUGGCCCACCAAGCCAAAGAUGGGUACCGGGCGUGAGAGCGUGGCCCGGCUCACUGGGACUGAGACACUGCCAGACAUCUACGGAUGGCUGCAAGUCGAGGAUCUUCCGCAA
rnacentral:rRNA from 1 species